GAUGAACGCUGGCGGCAGGCCUAACACAUGCAAGUCGAGCGAGCGGCGGACGGGUGAGUAAUGUAUGGGGACUGCCCGAUAGAGGGGGAUAACUACUGGAAACGGUGGCUAAUACCGCAUACUAUCGGAUAACCCAGAUGGGAGUAGCUAGUAGGUGGGGUAAUGGCUCACCUAGGCGACGAUCCCUAGCUGGGCUGAUAGGAUGAUCAGCCCCACUGGGACUGAGACACGGCCCAGACUCCUACGGAGGCAGCAGUGGGGAAUAUUGCACAAUGGGCGCAAGCCUGAUGCAGCCAUGCCGCGUGGAUGAAGAAGGCCCUAGGGUUGUAAAGGACUUUCAGUCGGGAGGCGUUACCGACAGAAGAAGCACCGGCUAACUCCGUGCCAGCAGCCGCGGUAAUAC
rnacentral:rRNA from 1 species